rnacentral:rRNA from 1 species
UCAAUAAGCGGAGGAAAAGAAACUAACAAGGAUUCCCUUAGUAACUGCGAGUGAAGAGGGAAAAGCUCAAAUUUAAAAUCUGGCAGCAUUUUGUUGUCCGAGUUGUAACCUAGAGAAGUGUAACCUGUGCUGGACCGUGUAUAAGUUUCCUGGAAUGGAGCAUCACAGAGGGUGAGAAUCCCGUCUUUGACAUGGACUACCAGUGCAUUGUGGUUGUGCUCUCAACGAGUCGAGUUGUUUGGGAAUGCAGCUCUAAAUGGGUGGUAAAUUCCAUCUAAAGCUAAAUAUUGGCGAGAGACCGAUAGCGAACAAGUACCGUGAGGGAAAGAUGAAAAGAACUUUGGAAAGAGAGUUAAACAGUAUGUGAAAUUGUUGAAAGGGAAACGUUUGAAGUCAGUCGCGUUAGCUGGGGAUCAGCCUGACAUUGUUGGGUGCACUUCCUGGUUGACGGGCCAACAUCAGUUUUGACUGCCAGAAAAAGGCCAAGGGAAUGUGGCACCUUUGGGUGUGUUAUAGCCUUUGGUCAUAUAUGGUGGUUGGGACUGAGGAAUGCAGUGUGCCGAAAGGCCGGGUUUCGACCACGUUCACACUGAGGAUGUUGGCAUAAUGGCUUUAAGCGACCCGUCUUGAAACACGGA